AGAGUUUGAUCCUGGCUCAGAUUGAACGUUGGCGGCAUGCCUUACACAUGCAAGUCGAACGGUAACAGGUUUUUCGGAUGUUGAGGAGUGGCGAACGGGUGAGUAAUACAUCGGAACGUGCCUAGUAGUGGGGGAUAACUACUCGAAAGAGUGGCUAAUACCGCAUGAGAUCUACGGAUGAAAGCAGGGGAUCGCAAGACCUUGUGCUACUAGAGCGGCCGAUGGCAGAUUAGGUAGUUGGUGGGAUAAAAGCUUACCAAGCCGACGAUCCGUAGCUGGUUUGAGAGGACGACCAGCCACACUGGGACUGAGACACGGCCCAGACUCCUACGGGAGGCAGCAGUGGGGAAUUUUGGACAAUGGGGGAAACCCUGAUCCAGCCAUCCCGCGUGUAUGAUGAAGGCCUUCGGGUUGUAAAGUGCUUUUGGCAGAGAAGAAAAGGCAUCCCCUAAUACGGGAUGCUGCUGACGGUAUCUGCAGAAUAAGCACCGGCUAACUACGUGCCAGCAGCCGCGGUAAUACGUAGGGUGCAAGCGUUAAUCGGAAUUACUGGGCGUAAAGCGUGUGUAGGCGGUUCGGAAAGAAAGAUGUGAAAUCCCAGGGCUCAACCUUGGAACUGCAUUUUUAACUGCCGAGCUAGAGUAUGUCAGAGGGGGGUAGAAUUCCACGUGUAGCAGUGAAAUGCGUAGAUAUGUGGAGGAAUACCGAUGGCGAAGGCAGCCCCCUGGGAUAAUACUGACGCUCAGACACGAAAGCGUGGGGAGCAAACGGGAUUAGAUACCCUGGUAGUCCACGCCCUAAACGAUGU
rnacentral:rRNA from 1 species